rnacentral:misc_RNA from 1 species
AAGUCGUAACAAGGUUUCCGUAGGUGAACCUGCGGAAGGAUCAUUAUUGAAUAUUCUUGAUGAGUUGUAGCUGGCUCUCCGGGGCAUGUGCACGCUUGUCUUGAUUCUAUUCAUCCACCUGUGCACCUUUUGUAGUCUUGGGGGUUGAAAGCAGUUGACUAUCGGAUGGCUACGGCUACUCCGGAUGUGAGAAAUGCUGAGCGCAGAGACGCAUACAGCUCUUCUCAAAUGACUUGCAUACCCUUGAGUACUAUGUAUUCAUAUACCAUGUCGUAUGUUGCAGAAUGUGAUCAAUGGGUCUAUGUACCUAUAAUAAUCAUAUACAACUUUCAGCAACGGAUCUCUUGGCUCUC